UAUCAUCUCAAUAAAGUAAACUAUGGCGACAGGCGUCCAACAUGACCUGAUGAAGCAGGCACAGUGCUUUUGGUCAAUGCUGGAUGAGCUUGCAGAGACCGAUGAAGAUGCAUACAGGAAGUUCAUGGCCACAAACCUCCAAAGAGGACAGCAAGAAUUGACACCGGCCAAGCCAUGGAUGUGCGUCAAGACCCGUAUCAUGUAAUGGACGUGUGAACUCCUUCACUGCCACAGUCGGCUACCGAAG